rnacentral:rRNA from 1 species
UACGUAGGGUGCAAGCGUUGUCCGGAAUUAUUGGGCGUAAAGAGCUCGUAGGCGGUUCGUCGCGUCGGCUGUGAAAUCCCGAGGCUCAACCUCGGGUCUGCAGUCGAUACGGGCGGACUGGAGUUCGGCAGGGGAGACUGGAAUUCCUGGUGUAGCGGGUGAAAUGCGCAGAUAUCAGGAGGAACACCGGUGGCGAAGGCGGGUCUCUGGGCCGAUACUGACGCUGGAGGAGCGAAAAGCGUGGGGAGCGAACAGG